GUCCUAGCCGUAAACGAUGCACAUUAGACGUGAGGGGUAUCGACCCCCUUCGUGUCGACGCAAACGCAUUAAAUGUGCCGCCUGGGGAGUACGGCCGCAAGGUUGAAACUCAAAGGAAUUGACGGGGGCCCCGCACAAGCGGUGGAGCAUGUGGUUUAAUUCGACGCAACGCGAAGAACCUUACCUAGGCUUGAACUGUCGGUAGUAAAAUUAAUUAAAGUUGAGAUGACCCGUAAAGUCGGAUGCCGAUAGAGGUGCUGCAUGGCUGUCGU
rnacentral:rRNA from 1 species